AUUGAACGCUGGCGGCAUGCCUUACACAUGCAAGUCGAACGGCAGCACGGGUGCUUGCCCCUGGUGGCGAGUGGCGAACGGGUGAGUAAUACAUCGGAACAUGUCCUGUAGUGGGGGAUAGCCCGGCGAAAGCCGGAUUAAUACCGCAUACGAUCUACGGAUGAAAGCGGGGGACCUUCGGGCCUCGCGCUAUAGGGUUGGCCGAUGGCUGAUUAGCUAGUCGGUGGGGUAAAGGCCUACCAAGGCGACGAUCAGUAGCUGGUCUGAGAGGACGACCAGCCACACUGGGACUGAGACACGGCCCAGACUCCUACGGGAGGCAGCAGUGGGGAAUUUUGGACAAUGGGCGAAAGCCUGAUCCAGCAAUGCCGCGUGUGUGAAGAAGGCCUUCGGGUUGUAAAGCACUUUUGUCCGGAAAGAAAUCCUUGGCCCUAAUACGGUCGGGGGAUGACGGUACCGGAAGAAUAAGCACCGGCUAACUACGUG
rnacentral:rRNA from 1 species